rnacentral:rRNA from 1 species
AACGAACGUAGCGGCGCGCUUAACACAUGCAAGUCGAACGAGAAAGGGCUUCGGCCUGAGUACAGUGGCGCACGGGUGAGUACCACGUGGGUUAUCUGCCUCUCGGCGGGGGAUAACAUCCCGAAAGGGGUGCUAAUACCGCAUACGUCCGCUUCGGCGGGGAAAGGUGGCCUCUGCUUGCAAGCUAUCACCGAGAGAAGAGCCCGCGUCCCAUCAGCUAGUUGGCAGGGUAAUGGCCUACCAAGGCUACGACGGGUAGCUGGUCUGAGAGGAUGAUCAGCCACACUGGAACUGAGACACGGGCCAGACUCCUACGGGAGGCAGCAGUGGGGAAUAUUGCGCAAUGGGCGAAAGCCUGACGCAGCGACGCCGCGUGGGUGAUGAAGGUCUUCGGAUCGUAAAGCCCUGUUGGAGGGGGACGAAAAACUCGGUGGCUAAUAUCCGCCGGGCCUGACGGUACCCCUCCAGAAAGCACCGGCUAACUCCGUGCCAGCCGCCGCCGUAACAC